rnacentral:sRNA from 1 species
UAUGCAGUGAAAAACAAUGCCAGGAUGCGGUUUUCUAGAAGCAAGACGGAAUGCCCACCGCUCGAAAGACUGGCUAUCCCCUCCAAAGAAGACUUACGAUCGAAAGGUCUUCACUGUGAUGCGAAACGCGCUGUCAUUGUUAGCAGCUGUGGAGAACCAUUCCUUGUAUCCACACAUGGUACAAUAUAUGACCCUUCCAUCUAAUAUUUUCGUCAACUUGACCCAAGAGGAGGAGAUAUUCGUUGCUACAAACCACAACAUCAUUGGACACAAUAUAAACAGAGUUUCCCACAAAGAUAUGGUCAAAUUAUUCAGAAGUCUGAAGCCAUCAGACAUUGAUGUGGAGUCAGCCAGGUGUGAAAACACAAAGGAAUGGAGAAUGAGGUGCCAGCAACAUCUUCCUCUUGGCUCAGAUAUUUCUAGUUACCAGUCUAUCUUUUGGAUUUCAUGUGCCAGUGACCCUGUUUACAGACAGAUUUUGCUGAUCUAUGAUCUUUAUGAGCAAGGGAAGCUAAAGAACCAAAAACUAAAGAAACAUGAAUCCAUGAUGACACCAUGUUUGAAUGUGACACGGCCUUGGAGAGCUUUAAUGACCUUACCAGAGGAAACUGUUGUACAGAUGUUAACUAAAGUUACCAGUCUAGAGUAUGAUCUGGAUGAAAUGACAAAGGAAGCAGAAUAUCUAAAGGGAACGAGGAACAUCCAGUAUGCCUCGUUGAUGUUAAAAGGGGUGUUCCAGGGGAAAGGCUCCGCCAGUUUGUGGAGAGGAAACUGAAAGAUCCCUCUUCAAGGGCAAAACCUUUGGUUUUUCAAGAUCAUCCUUUAAAUUUCAUAAAAGGGGGCAGCCUAGAAAAUCCUGUUGAUGUCAUUCUAUUCAAUGAGGAAAUAUCCGAGUGGCAAACACUUCUCAGAGUGUGUAUGGACCUCCCCUUACUAAAUGAGGAACACACCAUUGUUUUUACAACAUCGUGGGCC